UUGCUUGUAUCCACCCCAGUGCUCAGUACAGUGUCUGGCACGCAGUAAGCACUUAACAAAUGACACAGUUCUUUUGAAGUUUUAGAUGGCUAGGACUACCCCUGGCCCUCAGCUCCUGGACAUCGCCGACCCGCCCAUGCCGUUUCAUUUCCAGCCCAGUGCCGGCCCGUGGGCGUCCCCCGGUGCCCCCCGCCAGGGCGGGCCGCCCGACCUCCCCCGUGGGCACCCAAACAGCCAGUCGUUAAGGCAGGCCCCGGGUCCCGGGGACGGGGGUGAGGACGGUGGUCCAAACGGGCUGGCUGAUGGGCAUCGGCCCCGCGUCCAGCAGUGACGCCCGGAUAAAAUAAUGCGACGGGAUUCGAUUGUUCUCUAACGGGGCACUGUGUCAUCGUGUCAGCGAGCGAUCGAGGUUAUUAUGGGGCAGGGCAGGCGGGACGGUGGGGUUACUAGACUGUAGCAUUUUUAGAACUACGGGGCUGACCUACUUAGACGGAUUCUGGCUGGCUGGCAGCUGCCUGAUGCCGCGAGUGUCCUGAUAGGCCGAAGCUGUUGCUAGGGGAAUUAACAUGAAUUUUUCCACACACACACACACACACACACACACACACUCACUCACAGAGUCGGUGGCUGAAAGAUAAAAGCUGACUGAAAUUACAGGGAUUCGGUUUAGCAUUAUACAAAUUUAUCUCCCCCCUUUCCCCCUGCCCGUUUUUCCCCGCUUCAGGGCCGAGAAGGAGAGCGAAAUGCCGUUUUUGUUUACACUUGUCCUCUGACCUAUUUUUCUGGAGUCAGGAGGGAGGAGAACAGAACCCCGGAGACAUUUCAGUAAUCUCUGACGGUUUAGGUCAUUCAAAUGAUGUGGCAAAUGGGAAGAUACUUAAGCUCAGAGAUUGCUGGGAAGUAGCUACAAAUGGCUUAGCCUCUUUCCUCCAUGCAACCCGCCCCUGCCCCCACCCCAUUCUGUUCACUAAGCUAUUUUAAAGUUGGCCACGUUCCGUGUAUUUAAACACCCUUUCCCUUUUGGGUAAGAACAAAACAUUUAUAUAAAUCCCACCCUCUCCAAACAGAUGGGAACGGGCCAUCGCUACCUUGUUUAAAAUAAGACCUCCAGGAUUCCAGAUUUAGAAUGGAAAAUACAUACCAUCUUUUAUUUUGAGAUCGGCUCGAAGAGUCGGUCCAGUGUUUACGCUUCCCGGUGAACCCAGACGCCUCUCCCCCUGCACCAUCUCUCCUGUCUCCUCAAACGCUGGGGACCCUGGGGUUUUUCCACCGAGGAAAGUAUGCACGUUGGCUUUAUCUGGAAAAUGUUUUCCUCGUCGCUGACAUCUGCUCCACGUGUGGGCAGCUCGUCUAAUCAAUUUUCGAAGAUGACCUAUUUUCCCUCCCCACUGUGUCCCCCAGCCCCGGUCGAGAGAUCCGCAGGUGUUUCUCCUUAGCCUGUCUUCUCUCCCGACCCCCGAAGAAUCAGCCCCGUGUCGUCAGCGCCCAGAAACUCUCCCGGGAGGAAAAUAAAAACAAUGCCCCCAUCAAGGAUCUCUUGAUGUAAUUAUGAAUAUUUCCUCUGUUAUGAUCGCUAAUUAUAGGCGGUCUCUCGCUUGGACAACAAUCCGCCCCCCAAGAGGAUUCCACUUGGCUGUGUGAAGGGAGUCGCAACCCAGCGUGUUUUCCAAUUAUUUUCCACGACCGCAGGUUAUGAUGUCACAAGUAAACAAAACAGGACCUCGGCGGCUCGGGGUAGAGGGAGAAAGCCAGGUUGCAAGAUGGAAUCUCCCGGCCCCGGGAUAAAGGACGGGAUCAAACGGUGGGGGUGGAAUUUUGUUUUCGCUGAGGCUCUGUGGGGAGAGUUAAAUGCUUUUAAAGAUAAUGUAAACAGCAUUCAGAUCUGUCUAGACACCCAGAUUUUCAGUGAUCCCAGCGCUGUUCUUUCUCAGCGGAGCCUUCGGAGCAGGUUCAGAAGACUCAAUACGGAGCUAGGACCAGAAUCGGGCCUACUGACGCUAAUGUACUCGUCCAAGUGCUCCGGACAACGUUCUACACCGCUGGAUGCUCAGAACAGUGGCCGUGCGAACAGGCACUCGGGACAGUCCCGUCCACCGUACACAGUAAUAAUAAGCGAUAUUUUCUA